AAGCUUGUAACCAGUUGGCAAGCCCAAAACUGUUGGUGUGCGUUUAGGGGUUGACGGUCUAAAGUUUGGCUGUUCCAGCUAUGCAACAAGGCCCCAUAACACCCACCAUGAGGAGUGGAUGUAUUUAACCUCCGGUUUUGAGAUUUAUAUUUCUAGUGGGUGCAAGGACUUAUUUUCCGCACUUCUCUACAUAAAUUGCUGUAGUUCACACUGGAUUGCGAUAUGGAUACGAAUAUGUCAUAUAAAUCUCACCGAAAGCCGGGAGAUCGAAAUCUAAGCAUAAAACAACGGCGAUACAUCAGUAAAUUGCAAC
rnacentral:sRNA from 1 species